AUUGAACGCUGGCGGCAUGCCUUACACAUGCAAGUCGAACGGCAGCACGGGUGCUUGCACCUGGUGGCGAGUGGCGAACGGGUGAGUAAUACAUCGGAACAUGUCCUGUAGUGGGGGAUAGCCCGGCGAAAGCCGGAUUAAUACCGCAUACGAUCUACGGAUGAAGGCGGGGGACCUUCGGGCCUCGCGCUAUAGGGUUGGCCGAUAGCUGAUUAGCUAGUUGGUGGGAUAAAGGCCUACCAAGGCGACGAUCAGUAUCUGGUCUGAGAGGACGACCAGCCACACUGGGACUGAGACACGGCCCAGACUCCUACGGGAGGCAGCAGUGGGGAAUUUUGGACAAUGGGCGAAAGCCUGAUCCAGCAAUGCCGCGUGUGUGAAGAAGGCCUUCGGGUUGUAAAGCACUUUUGUCCGGAAAGAAAUCCUUGGCUCUAAUACAGUCGGGGGAUGACGGUACCGGAAGAAUAAGCACCGGCUAACUACGUG
rnacentral:rRNA from 1 species